rnacentral:rRNA from 1 species
GAUGAACGCUGGCGGCGUGCCUAAUACAUGCAAGUCGAGCGAACAGAUGAGGAGCUUGCUCCUCUGACGUUAGCGGCGGACGGGUGAGUAACACGUGGAUAACCUACCUAUAAGACUGGGAUAACUUCGGGAAACCGGAGCUAAUACCGGAUAAUAUAUUGAACCGCAUGGUUCAAUAGUGAAAGACGGUUUUGCUGUCACUUAUAGAUGGAUCCGCGCCGCAUUAGCUAGUGGGUAAGGAAACGGCUUACCAAGGCAACGAUGCGUAGCCGACCUGAGAGGUGAACAGGCCACACUGAACCUAGGAAACGGCCCAACCUCCAAGGGGAGGAGGCAGGGGGGAUUCUUCAGAAAUGGGCGAAGGCCUGACGAAGCAACGCGGGGUGGGUGAUGAAGGCCUUCGGAUGGUAAACCCCUGUUAUUAGGGAAGAACAAAUGUGUAAGUAACUAUGCAUGUCUUGACGGUACCUAAUCAGAAAGCCACGGCUAACUACGU